rnacentral:rRNA from 1 species
UGUACUAAGGUAGCAUAAUCAUUUGGCCUUUAAUUGAGGUCUGGAAUGAAAGGCUAAACGGGAAAUAGCUGUCUCUAUAGUUUAUAUUGAAUUUAUGUUAAAGGUGAAGACACCUUUAUUUUUAGGAAAGACGAGAAGACCCCAGGAGCUAUAUGAUUUCUGAAUAUUUAAUAUUUAUAAAGUCAAUUAGGUUGGGGCGACCCUGGAACAUUAAAAGCUUCUGGAAUAUUAUAAAACUAUAAAAGAACCUUUAUUAAGGGCUAUGUGAAUAAUUUUAGUUACCCUGGGGAUAACAGCACAAUCUUUAGCUGGAGAUCUUAUCCUCCUAAGGGCUUGUGACCUCUAUGUUGGACUAAAGGAGCUCUCUGGAGCAGAAAUUAGAGAAUGCUAGUCUGUUCGACUAUUAAACCUUUAC